rnacentral:rRNA from 1 species
UACGGAGGGGGCUAGCGUUGUUCGGAUUUACUGGGCGUAAAGGGCGCGCAGGCGGCAGAUCAAGUCAGAUGUGAAAUCCCCGGGCUUAACCUGGGAACUGCAUUUGUGACUGCAUGGCUAGAGUGCGGCAGAGGGGGAUGGAAUUCCGCGUGUAGCAGUGAAAUGCGUAGAUAUGCGGAGGAACACCGAUGGCGAAGGCAAUCCCCUGGGCCUGCACUGACGCUCAUGCACGAAAGCGUGGGGAGCAAACAGG